CAAUAGCGUAUAUUAAAGUUGUUGCAGUUAGAACGCUCGUAGUCGGAUUUCGGGGCGGGCCGACCGGUCUGCCGAUGGGUAUGCACUGGUCGGCGCGUCCUUCCUUCCGGAGACCGUUCCUACUCUUAACUGAGCGGGGGCGGGAGACGGGACUUUUACUUUGAAAAAAUCAGAGUGUUUCAAGCAGGCAGCUCGCUCUUGCAUGGAUUAGCAUGGGAUAAUGAAAUAGGACUUUGGUGCUAUUUUGUUGGUUUCGAACACCGAAGUAAUGAUGAGAAGGGACAGUCAGGGGCACUCGUAUUCCGCCGAGAGAGGUGAAAUUCUCAGACCAGCGGAAGACGAACCACUGCGAAAGCAUUUGCCAGGGAUGUUUUCACUGA
rnacentral:rRNA from 1 species